rnacentral:rRNA from 1 species
GAUGAACGCUGGCGGCGUGCCUAAUACAUGCAAGUCGAGCGAACGGACGCGGAGCUUGCUCCUCUGACGUUAGCGGCCGGCGGGUGAGUACCACGUGGAUAACCUACCUAUAAGACUGGGAUAACUUCGGAAAACCGGAGCUAACACCGGCUAAUAUAUUGAGCCGCAGUGUUCAAUAGUGAAAGGCGGUUUUGCUGUCACGUAUCGAUGGAGCCGCGCGGCAUUAGCUAGUUGUUACGGUAACGGGUUACCAAGGCGACGAUGCGUAGCCGACCUGAGCGGGUGGUAGGCCACCCUGGAGCGGAGACACGGUCCAGGCUCCUACGGGACGCAGCAGUAGGGAAUCUGCCGCAAUAGUCGAAAGCCUUACGGAGCGAGGCCGCGUCAGAGAUGAAGGUGUUGGGAGCGUAAAGCUGGGUUAUUAGUGAAGAACACAUGUGUAAGUAACUAUGCACGUCUUGACGGUACCUAGUCAGAAAGCAACGGCUAACUACGUG